AGCGAUUGUCAGAUCAAGAAGUCAGUGACGUGUGGAAUAUCUUCGCUUAUAAAUAAAGGUAAACUUCGGGGAAAAAAUUCCGAAUGUUGGAGAUCGUUCGCGGAUUCCCGAAUACUCUGCGCUUGUAAAACGGCGAAAGGAUAUCACUCCAAGCAGCACGUAAGGAGUUUCACAGAGGACGCUAACGAUUACACGACGGCUUUAUGGCCGCUCCAGGACCUGUAGCUCACUGCUAAAUUAUUCCACGGCGUUAAUGUAACGUACGACGCCGCUGGAAAGGGGUCGAUGGGUGAACACACGAUUUGCUCCGGUCUCGCGCAAAGCAUAUGGGAUAAUUGCAGUAGAUCAGCAAUUGACGAGUAAUGAAACAAUACUAUAUUUUAUGAAGAAAAAAGCAAGAUGCGUGUAGCGUACUUGGUCUUUCAAAGUG